rnacentral:rRNA from 1 species
AGAACGAACGCUGGCGGCAUGCCUAACACAUGCAAGUCGAACGAGACCUUCGGGUCUAGUGGCGCACGGGUGCGUAACGCGUGGGAACCUGCCUUUAGGUUCGGAAUAACUCAGAGAAAUUUGAGCUAAAUACCGGAUAAUGUCUUCGGACCAAAGAUUUAUCGCCUUUAGAUGGGCCCGCGUAAGAUUAGCUAGUUGGUGGGGUAAAGGCCUACCAAGGCGACGAUCUUUAGCUGGUCUGGGAGGAUGAUCAGCCACACUGGGACUGAGACACGGCCCAGACUCCUACGGGAGGCAGCAGUGGGGAAUAUUGGACAAUGGGCGAAAGCCUGAUCCAGCAAUGCCGCGUGAGUGAUGAAGGCCUUAGGGUUGUAAAGCUCUUUUACCAGGGAUGAUAAUGACAGUACCUGGAGAAUAAGCUCCGGCUAACUCCGUGCCAGCAGCCGC